rnacentral:rRNA from 1 species
UACAGAGGUCUCAAGCGUUGUUCGGAUUCAUUGGGCGUAAAGGGCGCGUAGGCGGUGGGGUAAGUCUGGUGUGAAAUCUCGGAGCUCAACUUCGAAAUUGCACUGGAUACUGCUCUGCUAGAGGGCUGGAGAGGAGAUCGGAAUUCACGGUGUAGCAGUGAAAUGCGUAGAUAUCGUGAGGAAGACCAGUGGCGAAGGCGGAUCUCUGGACAGCUCCUGACGCUGAGGCGCGAAGGCUAGGGGAGUAAACGGG